UAGCCGAAGCCGGGGACAUGGCAACUCG
rnacentral:sRNA from 1 species